rnacentral:rRNA from 1 species
UACGUAGGGGGCAAGCGUUGUCCGGAUUUAUUGGGCGUAAAGAGCUCGUAGGCGGUCUGUCGCGUCGGCUGUGAAAACCCGCGGCUCAACCUCGGGCCUGCAGUCGAUACGGGCAGACUAGAGUGCGGUAGGGGAGACUGGAAUUCCUGGUGUAGCGGUGAAAUGCGCAGAUAUCAGGAGGAACACCGGUGGCGAAGGCGGGUCUCUGGGCCGUAACUGACGCUGAGGAGCGAAAGCGUGGGGAGCGAACAGG